rnacentral:rRNA from 1 species
AUUGAACGCUGGCGGCAGGCCUAACACAUGCAAGUCGAACGGUAGCACAGAGAGCUUGCUCUCGGGUGACGAGUGGCGGACGGGUGAGUAAUGUCUGGGAAACUGCCCGAUGGAGGGGGAUAACUACUGGAAACGGUAGCUAAUACCGCAUAACGUCGCAAGACCAAAGUGGGGGACCUUCGGGCCUCACACCAUCGGAUGUGCCCAGAUGGGAUUAGCUAGUAGGUGGGGUAAUGGCUCACCUAGGCGACGAUCCCUAGCUGGUCUGAGAGGAUGACCAGCCACACUGGAACUGAGACACGGUCCAGACUCCUACGGGAGGCAGCAGUGGGGAAGAUUGCACAAUGGGCGCAAGCCUGGUGCAGCCAAGCCGCGUGUAUGAAGAAGGCCUUCGGGUUGUAAAGUACUUUCAGCGGGGAGGAAGGCGGUGGAGUUAAUAACUUCACCGAUUGACGUUACCCGCAGAAGAAGCACCGGCUAACUCCGUGCCAGCCGCCGCGGUAA